ACUCUAUUUCUGAUAAACUACCCCCUCUCAGGUAGUUUGCUCUAACAAUAGAAAAUAGACUGCCACCCACCCGGGAGCACCAGGCUACCGCAGGCCUGGCAUCCUCCUCUUCCUUGGUCACUCCCCCAGGGCAGAGCACUCUGCCCCAGUGUCCCAGGAACCCUUCCCAACAAGCAGUAGCCUCAGGACACAAAUAUUUUCCCAGAGAGAAAACCAGGGCCAGAACAGAGGUGUGAAAACAAGAACGCAUUUCUAAGCGGCUGGUCAUCACUAAUAAGUCAACAAUUCCUGGACAAACACAGCCACUCUGGCCCAAGCCUGGGCUCCAUCCCCCUCCUUACCUCUGCCAGAGCCCCCUCCCCUCCUGCAGUCCCCAGCUCCUGACAGCCCAGCCAUCUGCAGCUCACUCACUAGGGCUCCAAUUAGCUCAGUAAUUAGCACCUCAUCAGGCCUGUCUGCCUGUGAACAGUUCCCCUGGGUAGGGGUUUCAGGAGGUCGCCACACCUUGGGCCCCAAAGCUGGGGCAAGUCCAGGCUGGCCAGGCCCCAGUCAGCCUCCCUGCUCCCACAGGUGGCUCCCAGAAUAGGAUAGGGGGCCAAGGAAUCCCUCAGGGCAUGGGAUACUGGGCUGCAGGGGGAGGAUGGGCCCAGGACAAGGCUUAACUCCGUGGUCUCUGGGACCCUCAGUCAGCACCCAAACACCUUGCUCAGCCAUCUCUGCUCCUUUGGUGAUCCUGGAGGCUGGGGUGUCAAAGAGAUGGGAAAGACCCAAGUGGGGUCAAGUCAGCAUGUGGCAGGAGGCUACUCUUCAAAGUCCCUACAGGUGGCUUUGUGUAGCCCAGGGUCUGAAAGGAGCUCAGCUCAUCCUUUCAGGACCCUCAGACUUCCCGCCUUGGUGUCAUUCCUUUCUGCCCUAGACUCUGCAGCCACACCCCUUGAAGACCUCUCAGUCACUGGACUCAAUCCUUCCCCGCCAGUCCCUUGAAGUGGGUUGAGUGCCCUCCACACUGGCCAAAGGCGGCUG
rnacentral:lncRNA from 1 species